GUAUAGAGGGUGAAUUCUGCCCAAUGGUUGUAUAGUGAAACUGAGGACUAACGUCUAAAGCGAAACCCAACUGAAUGGCCGCGGUAACUCUGACCGUGAUAAUGUAGCACAAUAAAUAGCCAAUUAAUUGUUGGCGGGUAUGAAUGGAACCACGAGGGUCUUACUGUCUCAAGAGGAAAGCCGAUGAAAUUAUAGUUGUAGUGAAGAUACUACAUAAACAUUGUAAGACGAAAAGACCCUAUCGAGCUUUACUGGAUACCGAUAGCGUUAAUUUAAAAUGAUCGAUACUAAGUAUCCUGAUUUUGAGUUAAUAAUUUUUGUUGGUAGGACAGUUUAGUUGGGGCGACUACCUUUGAAUAAGAAACGAAGGCGAGCUUAUGGUAUACAAAGCUAAUCUCAUUAGCCUGACAGUGAGGGGGACACCCCUAGCUGGCACAAGGACUACGUCCUAUGUGGGCGAUAAUGACCCGAUAUGAUUGUCCAAAAUCAAUAUCGAAAGCGGAUAAAAGCUACCGUAGGGAUAACAGCGUAAUAUUGUCGGAGAGUUCUUAUCGAGGACAGUGUUUGCGACCUCGAUGUUGAAUUGCGGUGCCCUGGUGCUGUAAAAGGUACCUCUGGUUGGUC
rnacentral:rRNA from 1 species